UUUUUGAACUUUUCAAGAUCAAAUUUUUAUAGUCGCGCUUGCAAGUUUUCAUUUUUUUUUUUUUUUUUAAGUGCGUUUUCAAGGUUAAUCAGGAAUUUGAGUUAAUAUUAAAAUACCCUUUUCAUGGUUUCUUGUUUGGAUCUACUUCUGUUUAUAUUUUAGUGAUUGUGUCGAUCAAUAAUGGAGAAAUUAACACGUGCAUAUCCAUUAUAUCUGGGAUCUGUGUGGACUUCUUUCUCUAAGGACAUGAUUUGUGAUUGCGACUAGAUCGGAUUAGGAUUAGACUGCAUUGGAUUGGACUGAGUUGUAUUAGAGAUGAUAACAUUAAUCCAAUGCUGUGUUUGGUACUGCACAGGAUUGUGUGCCAAUGCCAAAUUAUGGGUGAAGAAAUCACGGGAAGUCAGAACAAGAAAAUUUUGCCACAUUAUGUCACCCUCUCUGCUCAGGAUUAGUCAAUACACAAUGAUAGAAUUACUUGGAAGCAUAUACCGCAUGCGUUUCUCAAAAACUUAAGUGGACAAUCACUUGGCAAAUGCGCUCUUAAAGGCCCUGGUGGAAAAAGGUGGAUUGUGGGACUGGAAGAGCGAGAGAACGGCUUGUUCUUCUAUGCGGCGGGUUGGCAGGAUUUUGUGAAGGAUCAUCUUCUGCAAGUUGGGGAAUUUCUGGUGUUCCAUUACCAUGGUGAAUCAAAAUUUAUAUGAUAAAAGUGCCUGUGAGAAGGAUGUAGAGGAAGCCGAGGGGAGGAGUAGCAGUCCAGUUACCUAGGAAAAUAAAGGAAAUCAAGCCAGAGUAAAAGAGGAAAUUGUCGAAUCCGAAACUGAAAACUACGAUGCAGACUGCGAAAAUAAAGGGACCAUUGCUAGCAGAAGUGAGAAUGCCAUGCCUGGAAAGAGACCUUCAACUGGUUAUGUAAAAGAAACAUCAACCAGAUGCUUCACAUUCACAUUCAAAUUGGAGAAUCCAUGUUUUAUGGAAACUCUGAAGAAGUAUCAAGAAUACUGUGUGAUAAUUCCGAAGAAACUAGCCAUGUCUGAAUGAGCACAGGCACUGUAAUGCUUCGAAAUGAAUCCGGAAGAUCAUGCUGUGCUAAAGUUAUACUCCGUCCCAAGUCAUCUUUCCACCGCAUGGAAUUGACAACAGGUUGGGCAGAAUUUAGUAACACGAACCAGAUUUCAGAUGGGGACACUGUAAAUUUUGAGUUUGUCAAGCAAACCGUAAUUCAGAUUCAUGUUUUCAGAGCAGUGAGAGGCAAGAGAUGUGCUGUGGUACUAGGUGCCCCCAAUGUGAAAAACGAAAGCCAGUUAAAAAUAUCUUGACUGCAAUAUUCACUUUUGCAUUCUGCGCAAACGGCGAUCUUCUUGUAUUUUGUUCCCCAGCCUCCGGCAGCCAGUCUUCUUUUUCUGGGAGUUUUGUGGUAACUUUCUGUUUCUAUGAGGCAGAACUUGAACUGAGAGAGAUGAUUGAGUAGAGUUUGUGCACGUGUAAAUUUUAGCCAUUCAUCCAACGCUGGGACUAAAUUCAAAUGCCAUUAUAUUUUGUUGAUUAUAUUAUAUGCCACGUCUCAUCACAGA